rnacentral:rRNA from 1 species
CCUACGGGAGGCUGCAGUCGAGAAUCUUCCGCAAUGGGCGCAAGCCUGACGGAGCGACGCCGCGUGGAGGAUGAAGGCCUUCGGGUUGUAAACUCCUGUCACGGGUUAUGAACGGACGCAGUUGAACAGGCUGUGUAUUGACGUAAGCCCGUAAGGAAGCACCGGCUAACUCUGUGCCAGCAGCCGCGGUAAUACAGAGGGUGCGAACGUUGUUCGGAAUUACUGGGCAUAAAGCGCGCGUAGGCGGCGACGCAAGUGUCGGGUGAAAUCCCACGGCUCACCCGUGUGAAUUGCCUGGCAUACUGCGUUGCUCGAGUGUGGUAGGGGAGAGCGGAACUCCUGGUGGAGCGGUGAAAUGCGUAGAUAUCAGGAGGAACACCGGUGGCGAAGGCGGCUCUCUGGUCCACUACUGACGCUGAAGUGCGAAAGCUAGGGUAGCG